rnacentral:lncRNA from 1 species
CAUCUCUGGUUCUGAGAUGGCGCUGUCUUCCCUCUGUGUCUCUGCCUCCGUUUGCCGGUCUGAGAGACGAGGGUUUUCUGGAACCUGUUCCCCAUCGGCAGCCUUGACUACUGGUGACGCAGCUCCACUCUUCCACCCGUCAGCGCCUGUCACUAGGAAGUUCUUGGGCACACUUCCAACAGCAUUCACUUCUGUGCUCCAGGAAAAGGAUCAAACUCGGGACCUUGUGCUUGUGAGGCAGGCGCCAGAACCACUGAGCUAAAUCCCCGGCCCGGUCCAGCCCUAUUUCUGGGAAAAGAAAAGAG